rnacentral:rRNA from 1 species
UUAGAUGUCCGGGGCCGCACGCGCGUUACACUGGAGGGAUCAGCGGGUUUUAUYUCGGCCCUCGGCCGGAAGGUCCGGGCAAUCCGCUGAACCCCCUCCGUGCUCGGGACAGGGAGUUGCAAUUGUCUCCCUCCAACGAGGAAUUCCCAGUAAGCGCGAGUCAUCAGCUCGCGUUGAUUACGUCCCUGCCCUUUGUACACACCGCCCGUCGCUACUACCGAUCGAACGGUUUAGUGAGAUCCUCGGACGGGCCGCGGCGGGGCAGAGUCACAUUUGCCUCGCGCGCGCCGCCCCGGAAGACGAUCGAACUUGAUCGUUUAGAGGAAUU